rnacentral:misc_RNA from 1 species
AAGUCGUAACAAGGUCUCCGUAGGUGAACCUGCGGAGGGAUCAUUAACACGUUUCUCAAAAACGUUUCCAACCAACCCGUGAACUUUUUGAAUAAAAACAAACCCGACCUGAGAGCAGAGAGAAUCCUGCUUGAAUCCUAGCGCUUAGUGAUGGGCAUUGUGUUUAAAACAAUGCGAGCGCUUUUCAAGCGAGAAGGGGGUUCCUCCCGAGUCCCCUUCAAGGCCUCUCUCUUUCAGGCUAAUGCUUUACCAUUAUUUCUCCUUCACUCACUGGGAAUAAUGGCAACACAAACCAAUUUCACCCCAUUGUACCAAUUGACUAACUCCAUGUUUGUGAACCAUCUCGCAAGAGAUGUCGCAAAUUGAAAUUAAUCAAAAUAUCUAAGCACAACUCUUAGCAACGGAUAUCUUGGUUCUC